rnacentral:rRNA from 1 species
CGGGCGUCUUAACAUGCAAUUCGACGAUUAAACCCUUUCGGGUGGUAUAAAGUUGCCGACGCUGAAGUACCCGUUGGCAACCUGCCCUUUUCAUGGAUAGCCCCGGGAAACCCGGAUAAUUCCGAAUACUUCGAGACUUCCGCAUAAAGACUCGAGAAAGCUCCGGCGGAGAGGGAUGGGCCGCGGCCUGUUAGCUUGUUGGUGGGGUAACGGCCUACCAAGGCAAUGAUGGGUAGCUUGGGUUAAGAGCCGACCAGCCAGAUUGGGACUGAGACACGGCCCAGACUCCUACGGGAGGCAGCAGUGGGGAAUCUUGCACAAUGGGCGAAAGCCUGAUGCAGCGACGCCGCGUGCGGGAUGAAGGCCUUCGGGUUGUAAACCGCUUUCAGCAGGGACGAGGCGAAAGUGACGGUACCGCAGAAGAAGCCCGGCUAAUAC